UAAAUUAAGAAUUUUAUUCCAAAAAUUAUUAUAAUGAAAAUAAAAUAUUAUAAGAUUUCAAAAUACAUCAAAACACCAAAAUUUCAUUAUAAAAAAUGACCUCAAGUUUCAAAAUCAUCAAGAUGUAACGGUUCACGAAAAAUGAUUUUUAGAAAUUCGGCAAAAUUGACACCAAUUUGUCACAAUCCGUUCAAAAUAGAGAUUUAACUAAUAUGAUACCGGGGGUGGUUUUUUGAGCAUCUUUUUCAAACUAACACCUUAUAACUCCGAAAAUUCUAAAAUAUUCAAUUUUUUUUCCAACCUUUUCGGUUAUUCAAUUCAAUCUUCAUGUGGUAGCUCUACACACUU
rnacentral:lncRNA from 1 species